AUGCCGUGAUGAGGACAGGCCAGGAUGUAUUCCUGAAGCCUCUCCCAAGCUUCUGGGAUGGAUUCUGUAACACCCGGUUUAUAAAAGGACAUAAACCGAGCAA